GCCAUUUUGGGGGCGUAGUGGCUGGCCGCCCUUGACCGGCCCCUGCCCGGGCGCUGGACUGGCAGCCGCCCGCCAGAGCAUCUUCUCGCCUCAGCUGCCGAGCAGUGCCCCGCUGCCGGGUUCUCGGCCGGAACCUCUGUCCAGACUCCUUUCUGCCCUUCCCCUACCUCCGCAUAAACCAGAAUACUCUUCCGUGGCAUCCUGCGGAAGAUACCUUCCCGGUCCCCAGACGUCAGCAGCCCCUCCACUUCAGCUCCGUCUCCCUUUUUCCAACCUGAGCCGGAUCCCAAUCUUGGAUUCUCCUCCCUAAUCUCCUGGCCUCCACAAACCAUUCAGCCUGGCACCUUUUUCUUCAUAACUUUCGCGUUUCAAGAAGUGGGGAAAUUGAUUCCAGAACGCUGAAGAGUAAAGUCGGGGUGCUCCGCAAACUGCAGACAGGCCGGCUAAUCAACUAGCUGCAGUUAAACAGCGAGAAAGCUAACUUCCGAGAUUUCAAUGGUUGAGUUCUUGAGUUAUCCAAGACUGUCACCACUACCACUAACAACUCUACUGAAAUCGUUGUCCCGGGGAUUGCCUAUUAUUCUGUGCCCAGUUCCUAAAUGGAGCAGCAGGAAGGCUACACAGGAAGAGUAAUUAAAGAUAAGUCAGUAACUGAAACUCCAGCACUUUGGCCACCUCAUGCGAAGAGUUGACUCAUUGGAAAAGACUCUGAUGCUGGGAGGGAUUGGGGGC